GCGCCGCCGCCGGGUCGUCCCACGGUUGGCGCGAGAGGCCCGCUGCCUGGCCGACCACCUCCAGCCCGAUCCCGUCCUACAGCCCGAGCGGAUGAGGAGAUAGGUUUUCUCGUCUAAAUUGUGAUAUGGUGAUUUAAUUGAUGAAUCUGUAGCUUCAGCAGAAUGCAACAGAGCAACCAUGGGUGGUGUAGGCACGCACUGUUUCUUGAUGCCAUUGGUUGGCCAAGGUGAAUCUAUCUUCCCCAUCUACAGAAGAGGGCUGCAUAUAUAAAUAGUGUGUGUUAAAAAAGAUUAAAUUUUCAGUAGUGAGUAUAUUAAUCAACUUUUGAGUGUUAUGUUACAUGGCUGCAUACUUUUGUGUACUUUUUGGUUGGGUAAUCAUGUACGUUAUUUUAUGUUUAAAAUGGUGUACUG